AGGAUGCGAGCGGACUCACCUGAGAGCAGACUCGCGCGGACUCUCUGUCUCUCUCACAAGGGCCCGAUGUCCACGCAGAGGAGGAGCCGUGUGGGACAAUUGGUUGCGACCUUUAAGUGGAGGACAUUUCUCCCCAGAGUCCGCUUUGCCUCCGGAAGAGAUCCCGUCAGCAUGGCGUCGGGCUUCAUCGGAGCGCGAGAGGGGGUCUGUUUCUGUCUUUGGUUAUCUAGCUGUAUGAGUUUUAAAUGCCUGUCAUAAAGCUAGAUAACCGAAAGUAGGAAUGACUUCCGGAACGUUGUUUUCAUCCCCGAAAGACGCGGGACUCCUUGAGCUUCCAACUGGGAAAAAGGAGACAUUUAACUUGUCACAGAGGGGGAAGCACAAGUGUCACCAGUAACACUUAACAGAGGCUCUAUUCUAUUUCCAUGCUUCCAAUUUACGACAUUGAAUGAUCGUGGAUCCCUGAAAAGAGGCUCGAGCCAUCGUUGAAAGAAAUGGAAGCGAGAGCUGAGGAGAAAACGGUCGGUCCGGAAUUGCUACCUCCUCCUCCUCCUCCUCCUCCUCCUUCUUCCCCAUUAGUCGUCCUUUUUGCCCAAGAGCCUCUAACACCAUCUGUGCUGCCAACGGGGGUUGGAGGGGUGGGCGUGCCAGGACGCGGACAAAGACCCUUCCGGAUCCCCGGAGAACGGGCACGCUCAGAGGAGCCAUCUUGGGGAGAUGUUACCGCGAUACCUAAGAUGGCAGGCUGGCACACCGAGGACGGGGAACAGGAUCUGCCUCUCUGCGCUCUGAAGGAACCUGCUUGCGCGCGAGGACAUCCUGGACCAAACUCAACGAAAUACUGUCUUCAGAAAGUCUCAACAGAGAUCAUCAGUCACCUAAACGAGGAGAGCAGCCCUGUGUGGCAAAGGACACGUAGAAAGAAAAGAGCUACUGUACAAGCUGGAAAUGUGCCUGUUAUCCAUGUUCAUGAUAUUGUAUUAAUGUGUGUGAUACAUAUACAUUAUUUUUAAAAUUGCUGAAAACUUGAAUGUUCUCACCGAUAUAUCUAAAGUGCAUCUACAUGUUUUAAUGAAUAAUUUAUGAAACUGCUGUUCUCAUAUGUCUGAAAUGAAAUAGUAAUUUAUAAGACUGGAGUGCAUUACUGAAAAAGCUGAUUGUAUUUCUUCUUUGAAAUAAAUCAAUAAUGAAAAUAUUUUCAUCUCUGUGUUACAAUCGUGCUUUUGAGCAAUUAUUUCAGUGAUAAAUUAGGAAGGGAAACAAUAGAUUAUUACAAUGCGGACAACUGUUUUCAUGUUGAAUGUUUUCAAUAGCACUUUGUCUUUAAUCUUCAAUAAAAAAAUGAACAAGGAUCGAUCUAAAACAGACAGUAUACGGAGUCAAGCCGGCUGGACCUUUUCUCUGCCAGCUUUCUGUUUUUAAAUUCAAAUGGUAAUUUCUGUGAGGAUCGCGCGAGGCGGUCUUUGAGUGACCCCACAUUAAGCUUUAAUUAGGAGGAGCAGACGGGGAGUUGUGUGUUGAUCAGUGUGGGAAAAGAGAAAUUGACUGCCUGAACUGUCUACACUGCGGAAAUAGACAUUCACUCUGUUCAUAUCGGCUGCGAAAAAUUAUACGGCUAAAUAACAGGAGUGUUAUAUUUGGAAAGGUUUGUUUUUACUGCUCAGCAGGCACAGUAUCCGUUUUGGGGAUUACAGGCCUUCCUGGAGUCUCAAGAGUCCGACUCAUCUGCAGUCAAACAACAGAUGCUCAUGCUUCUUAUGAGAGAUAAUCUCUGUCUCUAGGACACAAAUUAUUUCCUCUCCAUUAAAAUGAUUCCUUAUCUUAGAAUCAGAGGUUUGA
ensembl:lncRNA